AAUUGAAGAGGUUUGGAAAGACCCACCACAGAAGGUAAUAGUCCUGUAUGUUAAACGAGAAGACUUCAGAUAUGAUCCAGAGUACCACGGGACACGUGAAACCCUGUGGGAAGCAGGAGGGACCACCCUCCAAGGCUAAAUACUACCUAGUGACCGAUAGCGUAUAGUACCGUGAGGGAAAGGUGAAAAGAACCCCGGGAGGGGAGUGAAAUAGAACCUGAAACCCUGCACUUACAAGCUGUGGAAGCACAUUUCUUGUGUGACCGCGUACUUUUUGUAGAACGGGCCAACGAGUUACGUUAAGUAG
rnacentral:rRNA from 1 species